GAUGAACGCUGGCGGCGUGCUUAACACAUGCAAGUCGAACGGAAAGGCCCAAGCUUGCUUGGGUACUCGAGUGGCGAACGGGUGAGUAACACGUGGGUGAUCUGCCCUGCACUUCGGGAUAAGCCUGGGAAACUGGGUCUAAUACCGGAUAGGACCACUUCUUGGAUGUUGUGGUGGAAAGUUUUUUCGGUGUGGGAUGAGCUCGCGGCCUAUCAGCUUGUUGGUGGGGUAAUGGCCUACCAAGGCGUCGACGGGUAGCCGGCCUGAGAGGGUGUACGGCCAAAUUGGGACUGGGAUAAGGGCCAGACUCCUACGGGAGGGAGCAGGGGGGAAUAUUGCACAAUGGGCGCAAGCCGGAUGCAGCGACGCCGCGUGGGGGAUGACGGCCUUCGGGUUGUAAACUCCUUUCGCUAGGGACGAAGCGUUUUGUGACGGUACCUGGAGAAGAAGCACCGGCUAACUACGUG
rnacentral:rRNA from 1 species